AAUGGCCGCGGUAACUUGACCGUGCAAAGGUAGCAUAAUUAUUAGUCUUUUAAUUGAAGGCUUGAAUGAACGAUUGGAUGAAAAAUAGUCUUUAUUAUUUUGAAUUAUUUAACUUAAUAUUUAAGUAAAAAUUCUUAAAUAAGUAAGUGGGACGAGAAGACCCUAUAGAGUUUAAAUUUUUUUGUUAUUAUAAAGUUUAAGCAUUAAUAUUUUUAUAAUAAUAAAUAAAUUUUUGUUGGGGUGACAUUAAAAAUUAAUUAACUUUUAAUUAAUAUAUCAUUAAUAUAUGUUUAUUUGAUCCAAGUAAAUUUAUUGACAAUAAGAUAUAAUUACCUUAGGGAUAACAGCGUUAUUAAUUUGAAGAGUUCAAAUCGAUAAAUUAG
rnacentral:rRNA from 1 species